rnacentral:rRNA from 1 species
GGGCAGCAUGGUCUUAGCUUGCUAAGGCCGAUGGCGACCGGCGCACGGGUGAGUAACACGUAUCCAACCUGCCGUCUACUCUUGGACAGCCUUCUGAAAGGAAGAUUAAUACAAGAUGGCAUCAUGAGUCCGCAUGUUCACAUGAUUAAAGGUAUUCCGGUAGACGAUGGGGAUGCGUUCCAUUAGAUAGUAGGCGGGGUAACGGCCCACCUAGUCUUCGAUGGAUAGGGGUUCUGAGAGGAAGGUCCCCCACAUUGGAACUGAGACACGGUCCAAACUCCUACGGGAGGCAGCAGUGAGGAAUAUUGGUCAAUGGGCGCAGGCCUGAACCAGCCAAGUAGCGUGAAGGAUGACUGCCCUAUGGGUUGUAAACUUCUUUUAUAAAGGAAUAAAGUCGGGUAUGUAUACCCGUUUGCAUGUACUUUAUGAAUAAGGAUCGGCUAACUCCGUGCCAGCAGCCGCGGUAAUACGGAGGAUCCGAGCGUUAUCCGGAUUUAUUGGGUUUAAAGGGAGCGUAGAUGGAUGUUUAAGUCAGUUGUGAAAGUUUGCGGCUCAACCGUAAAAUUGCAGUUGAUACUGGAUAUCUUGAGUGCAGUUGAGGCAGGCGGAAUUCGUGGUGUAGCGGUGAAAUGCUUAGAUAUCACGAAGAACUCCGAUUGCGAAGGCAGCCUGCUAA